rnacentral:rRNA from 1 species
GAAAACGACUGCUAAGACUGGAUAGGAGACAAGAAGGCAUCUUUUUGUUUUUAAAAGACCUAGCAAUAGGUAUGCUUAGGGAGGAGCUUGCGUCACAUUAGUUAGUUGGAGGGGUAAAGGCUUACCAAGACUAUGAUGUGUAGCCGGGCUGAGAGGUUGAACGGCCACAUUGGGACUGAGACACGGCCCAAACUCCUACGGGAGGCAGCAGUAGGGAAUUUUCGGCAAUGGAGGAAACUCUGACCGAGCAACGCCGCGUGAACGAUGAAGUAUUUCGGUACGUAAAGUUCUUUUAUUAGGGAAGAAUAAAUGAUGGAAAAAUCAUUCUGACGGUACCUAAUGAAUAAGCCCCGGCUAACUAUGUGCCAGCAGCCGCGGUAAUACAUAGGGGGCAAGCGUUAUCCGGAAUUAUUGGGCGUAAAGGGUGCGUAGGCGGUUAAAUAAGUUUAUGGUCUAAGUGCAAUGCUUAACAUUGUGAUGCUAUAAAAACUGUUUAGCUAGAGUAAGAUAGAGGCAAGUGGAAUUCCAUGUGUAGUGGUAAAAUGCGUAAAUAUAUGGAGGAACACCAGUAGCGAAGGCGGCUUGCUGGGUCUUUACUGACGCUGAGGCACGAAAGCGCGGGGAGCAAACAGGAUUAGAUACCCUGGUAGUCCACGCCGUAAACGAUGAGUACUAAAUGUUGGGUAAAACCAGUGUUGAAGUUAACACAUAAGUACUCCGCCUGAGUAGUACGUACGCAAGUAUGAAACUUAAAGGAAUUGACGGGACUCCGCACAAGCGGUGGAUCAUGUUGUUUAAUUCGAAGGUACCCGAAAAACCUCACCAGGUCUUGACAUGCUUCUGCAAAGCUGUAGAAACACAGUGGAGGUUAUCAGUUGCACAGGUGGUGCAUGGUUGUCGUCAGCUCGUGUCGUGAGAUGUUGGGUUAAGCCCCGCAACGAGCGCAACCCUUAUUGUUAGUUGCCAGCACGUAAUGGUGGGGACUUUAGCAAGACUGCCAGUGAUAAAUUGGAGGAAGGUGGGGACGACGUCAAAUCGUCAUGCCCCUUAUGACCUGGGCUACAAACGUGAUACAAUGGCUGUUACAAAGGGUAGCUGAAACGUAAGUUUUUGGCGAAUCUCAAAAAAACAGUCUCAGUUCGGAUUGAAGUCUGCAACUCGACUUCAUGAAGUUGGAAUCGCUAGUAAUCGCGAAUCAGCAUGUCGCGGUGAAUACGUUGACGGGGUUUGUACACACCGCCCGUCA